rnacentral:lncRNA from 1 species
CCAUGCAUACAUUUUUUCUUUUGUUGUUUUGUUUGGUUCUUGUGGUUUUGCUUUUCUUCCUUUAGCCUUCCGAGCUUCAUGGUGUAUAUUUCACAAAUGAAAUGAAAAGAAAAUUUUGUGUUAUCUCGUCCAUGUGUUGUAUUAAAUUGUCGUCCGCCGAACUUCUUUUGUCUUUUGACUUGUCCGACGUCGACGUCGUUUGGAGGUGCCCAGUCAUCGUCAUGCUGAUUUGCUUUUCUUAUCGUUCAUGGCCUUAGGCUCGAGCUCGGUGGUUCGAACUCCACAUUACCUCGAAGGGGUCGUUGUUUUCUUGACCUGUGUCGAGAGCCUUCUUAGAGGUCGGGGAUGUUUGGUAGGAACUUCCCAUCUUUAUUGAGAUGAGGUUCCUUAAGUCUUUGGUGUGGUUUGUUUUUCGUCUGUUGCCGACGUAAUUCAUCGCUUUCCUUUUUAAUUUUCCUCCUCUUUUCGAGUGAGGGUCCUCCCCUUGCUUUUUGAGGGGUCACGUAGAAGUGUAGAGGUGCCAUUGAGGGGACUUUUCCCCUUAUCCAAUUUUAUUGGGCAGCCGGGUUCUUGUCAUCGUUAGGAUGAGGUUCUCCCUCUGUUCUUGACGUAGUCGAUCUCAGUUCAGGUUAGGAUGAGGUUCCCCUCCUGUUCCCAGCGGGGCUGUGGGGGCACAUAAGGGUCAUUGCAAGGGCCUCUCUUCCCAUCCGGUCUAAAAGAACCGGGCCUUCGACUUUGCUCAUGUUAGGGUGAGGUUCUCCUCCUGUCCCUAACAUGGCUGUGGGGGCACAUGUGGGCACUGUUUGGCCUCUCCCCCCAUC